rnacentral:lncRNA from 1 species
GCCGACGAUGAACUUCCAAGACGGAGAAGGGUUCGCCGGUGGCCUGGUAGCCAGAUUUGGUUAGAACCAUGCACAGGCAAGAAUCUAUGUGCUCUGAUACCAAAACUUGAUCCGAACGAGGAAGGUAGAAUCGCAAAGCCUUCGUUCUGAUCGUCAAAAUAGGAGAGAGAAAUGUUUUGGGACCAAGGGGUUAUAUUGGGAAGAGCU